CUCGAAAUCUCAGACUUUUAGAAAUUUCGACGAACAUUACUUUCGAAAAUUACCAUAUAAAGUUUACAUAAUUUUGAUAACUCUUCCUUUUACUCCCAAAAAUAAAAUGAAAUGAAAGUUCACCAUUCUCCCAGAAAGAAUUCGUAGUACCUAAUGUUAUUGUGAUUGUACAUUUAUUAAAGCUGAUAGGUUUCAAUAUAACUUUGGGCUGAUUCGCAUGGGCUUAUCCCGGCGACGUAGCUUUCAAGUGCCUGCUUUAUCAACUGUCGGUGGUAGGUUACGCGCCUGCCAUGGUCGUAAUAGGUAACAGGGAAUCAGGGUUCGAUUCCGGAG
rnacentral:ncRNA from 1 species